AAUAAAAUUGAAACAAUACAGAGAAGAUUAGCAUGGUCCCUGUGCAAGAAUGACACACAAAAUAGAAAUAACAGUCAUAGUAAU
rfam:Mustela putorius furo unplaced genomic scaffold scaffold00036, whole genome shotgun sequence.